UUGGCGGAGACUGCUGCUGUAAGCGGCGCAUGAAGGGAAGCCGAGUGUUGUACAGCACCGCCCCGUCUGAGACGUCACGUUCACCGGCAAGCCUUACCAGGGUAUGGUGAAGGACGGAAUGCACAGGCGACACACCAAAGCACCAGAAAACACCCUGCCAACAUUGGGGGAGAUUUGGGUAUGGAAGGGGAGAUUUGGAGGUACCUGGUCAGGUCUUGGUCAGCCUUCAAAUCCCAGAUGUGGAGACUGCAGGGAUACCUCACAGAGAAGACACUAAAGAGUCAUCUCUCAUUCAUCGAGUGGACUCAUUGGUUUGCGAAUGACCACAAAGAUGCUCCCAUAGGCAGAUUGCUGCAUGGCAUUCACCGCUUAUUCAAAUUGAAGAGGUUGAAGCAGUCUUCCUUGUGGUCACUUGCCAUAACAAUGUCAUGUGUUUUAUGAAAACACCAUCAGUAACAUUUAAAUUGAGUUGAUGUGGCUUUUUUUUGUGUCAGAUUUCUUCAGUGUUCAGUGCCUGUUUGUGAGAUAUGCAUUGUUUGAAAGAUAAGCCUUUGAUUUUGUUUAAUUUUAAUAUGCCUUUCAUCAACAGUUGUUUGGGGUUUUAUAACAACAAUUAAAGUGCUUAACUACUGGUGAACGAUGUUGCAGAACAUAUAUGGUUUGUGUUGAUUGCAUGGAAAAGGGAAUAACCAGUUACAACUUAUAUGGUAAGAGCCUGGUAAUACCAUGGAAACAAACUAGGCUUCCUUUUACAGUACAGUUUCAGCUUAC